CCUACGGGAGGCAGCAGUCGAGAAUCAUUCACAAUGGGGGCAACCCUGAUGGUGCGACGCCGCGUGGGGGAAUGAAGGUCUUCGGAUUGUAAACCCCUGUCAUGUGGGAGCAAAUUAAAAAGAUAGUACCACAAGAGGAAGAGACUGCUAACUCUGUGCCAGCAGCCGCGGUAAUACAGAGGUCUCAAGCGUUGUUCGGAAUCACUUGGCGUAAAGGGUGCGUAGGCUGUUUCGUAAGUCGUGUGUGAAAGGCGCGGGCUCAACCCGCGGACGGCACAUGAUACUGCGAGACUAGAGUAAUGGAGGGGGAACCGGAAUUCUCGGUGUAGCAGUGAAAUGCGUAGAUAUCGAGAGGAACACUCGUGGCGAAGGCGGGUUCCUGGACAUUAACUGACGCUGAGGCACGAAGGCCAGGGGAGCGAAAGGGAUUAGAUACCCUGGUAGUC
rnacentral:rRNA from 1 species